rnacentral:rRNA from 1 species
CCUACGGGGGGCAGCAGUGGGGAAUAUUGGACAAUGGGGGCAACCCUGAUCCAGCCAUGCCGCGUGUGUGAAGAAGGCCCUCGGGUUGUAAAGCACUUUCAGUGAGGAAGAACGCCUGGUGGUUAAUACCCAUCAGGAAAGACAUCACUCACAGAAGAAGCACCGGCUAACUCCGUGCCAGCAGCCGCGGUAAUACGGAGGGUGCGAGCGUUAAUCGGAAUUACUGGGCGUAAAGCGCGCGUAGGUGGCUUGAUAAGCCGGUUGUGAAAGCCCCGGGCUCAACCUGGGAACGGCAUCCGGAACUGUCAAGCUAGAGUGCAGGAGAGGAAGGUAGAAUUACCGGUGUAGCGGUGAAAUGCGUAGAGAUCGGGAGGAAUACCAGUGGCGAAGGCGGCCUUCUGGACUGACACUGACACUGAGGUGCGAAAGCGUGGGUAGCAAACAGGAUUAGAUACCCCAGUAGUC